rnacentral:snRNA from 2 species
AUACUUACCUGGACGGGGUCAAUGGGCGAUCAAGAAGGCUCAUGGCCUAGAUCAAUGCCUCACAUUGCACUUUGUGGGUGGGUUGGUUUACCAUCUCCCCAAGCGGGAGAGUGGACGUCAUAAUUUGUGGCAGAGGGGGUACGCGUCCGCGCGGCCCCUAC